UACGUAGGGUGCAAGCGUUGUCCGGAAUUACUGGGCGUAAAGAGUGCGUAGGCGGUUUUCUAAGUUUGGUGUGAAAUCUCCCGGCUUAACUGGGAGGUGCGCCGAAACUGGAAGGCUUGAGUAUGGGAGAGGUAAGCGGAAUUCCUGGUGUAGCGGUGAAAUGCGUAGAUAUCAGGAGGAACACCUGCGGUGUAGACGGCUUACUGGACCAUAACUGACGCUGAGGCACGAAAGCGUGGGUAGCAAACAGG
rnacentral:rRNA from 1 species